GACGAACGCUGGCGGCGUGCUUAACACAUGCAAGUCGAACGGAGAGGCCCUGCGUUGGGGGGGUGCGCGGAAGGCGAGCGGAUGAGGAGCGCAUGAUUCACCUGCCCUUGGCUUUAGUCUAACUUCAGGGGGCUAAGACUGAUACCUCAUAGCAGCUCCUACUGCAGGGGGGGGGAUGGAUAUUUUCUGCGGGUGGGGAUGGCCUCGCGGCUUAUCAGCUUGUUGGUGGGGUAGUGGCCUACCAAGGCGUUGACGGGUAGCCGGCCUGAGAGGGUGACCGGCCACACUGGGACUGAGACACGGCCCAGACUCCUACGGGAGGCAGCAGUGGGGAAUAUUGCACAAUGGGCGGAAGCCUGACGCAGCAACGCCGCGUGCGGGAUGACGGCCUUCGGGUUGUAAACCGCUUUCGGCUGUGACGAAGCGCGAGUGACGGUACUGGCUAAAGAAGCACCGGCCAACUACGUG
rnacentral:rRNA from 1 species